ACACGUAAUUCUCUCAUUUCCUUUUCCUUCUCCACAAACCUCUCUUUUAGUUAUUAGCCACAUCCACUCCUUAUCUCCCCACGUAAUACUUCUCUCCCAUUAUCUUUAUUUUUAUUUUUAUUUUUAUUGAAUUUUCAGUGUUUUAUCAUGAGAUGCAUACUCCUUAAAUAAUUUGAAAAUAUGCAACUCUCUUUCACUUUCUUCUAUACCUCACUUGAAUUUUCAGUGGGUUUUUUAAAUUUAUUUAAAUUUGUGAACUUUGUCUCCCUUCACUCUAGUGUAUUUUUUAAAAAUAUAGUAUGAUAAUUUAAACGAGUUACUUGUGUUUAGCCUAUGAAUUUGUUCAGCGUUAGAAAUUUUUAGAAACUUUUAAAAAAAUAUGAUUCAUGAUUUUUUUUUUGUUUGCAGACAAAGCUCAAGGUCUAUAUCCUUAGAAAAGAAGGAUUGGCAAUUUUACUGUGGAAUUUCAGUGAGUAUCUUUUCUAUUUAUUUCUCAUUCUAAUAUCAACUUUACAAUUAAAAUUUUAUAAUAUAUCAUGUUUAAAUCAAAAUAGCAGUGAGUACACAUUAAAAUUAUAUUUUUUUCCUUUUCACACAGGUACAUUGAAAAAUUGAAUGAAGAGUAAAGUUAUUAGAUAAGUUGGCUACAUUAGCAUAUAAGGAGUAACAUUUUUAUUUUCUUAUUGACGACUAACAUUAUGUACUUCCGUUAGGAUCAUAUAAGAAUCUUUAAUGAGAUUAUUUCAAUAUUAUUUUAAUUCUAAAAUAUAUAUGAUCAUGAGAGACACUUUUUGUUAUUAUGUUAAAUGUUUUAUUUUAUUGUGUUGAGUUUAUAUUAUUAUAUGAUAUCUGCUAAGUUUAAAAAAUAAA
rnacentral:lncRNA from 1 species